GACUUACAAUGUAAAUAAAUCUAUUUUAUUCAAGGUACAUUUCCACUUUUUAUUACAAAACUGAACAAGGAUGAAUAUAACCCAAAAAUUAACACAACCAAUCACACCAAUUAAGAAGAUAAAGCUAUAGCUAAAGAAUACCAGCACCACCGCUUCCACUACUCCUCUCAUAAUUAACAUUACCCUCUCUCACAUGAAAGCAACAGAUAAUGCAUGGUGAUGCCAAGGUCAAAGAUUUUUUUGUAGGCUCUCCAUCACUUUCCUGUCUCAACCAGAAUCUUUCAUAGAUCAUGGGUGCCGUGGACAUCCACCAUUUGAGCUGUUGGUGCCGCACGAGGGCCCCGCCCCCAGCUGCUGCAGGUAUAUUCGCUGGAGGAACUGCACAAUACCGUCGCCGGAGACGGCCUCCCCCUCCCCUGCCGACGACCACACUUCGCCGCUCAACGGCCGCGCUGCACCUGAGAUUGCCAAGAACCCCAGGACCAGCAGUAGCAUUACCGGCACGGCUGCAAACCCUCUCGCCAUCUAUCACCAACAAGAAGAAGCUCUAAAUCUCUCGAUGAACACUGUUCAAAAGGAGCUUCUUUGCUUCGGUUGAUCUGAUCUGCUUCUUGUGUUCUGUUGG
rnacentral:lncRNA from 1 species